rnacentral:pre_miRNA from 1 species
UCUUAUGGAUGAGCAAAGAAAUCGUUUCUUGACAUGGAAUCUACUUCUGAUGAAGAUGUUGUGAA